rnacentral:rRNA from 1 species
UACGUAGGGUGCAAGCGUUAAUCGGAAUUACUGGGCGUAAAGCGUGCGCAGGCGGCUUUGCAAGACAGAUGUGAAAUCCCCGGGCUUAACCUGGGAACUGCAUUUGUGACUGCAUGGCUGGAGUGCGGCAGAGGGGAUGGAAUUCCGCGUGUAGCAGUGAAAUGCGUAGAUAUGCGGAGGAACACCGAUGGCGAAGGCAAUCCCCUGGGCCUGCACUGACGCUCAUGCACGAAAGCGUGGGGAGCAAACAGG